AACGCAGCACUUGAAAUCAGGCAUGGUAAGACCAGUGUGCUGCUCUGCCACUGCUCAGUGGAAUCUAAAUUUAGGGAUGCACAUGAGUUAUGGGGCAUAGUGUCAUGGGAAUGCUGCAAAGGAACUGGAAGAAGAGAGUGCUCUUACAGCUUCUUUACCAUAUUGCUCCAGAUGGUCCACGUUCUUAUGGAAAGUCUGAUUCUGGAAGGAAUUGUCAGCUCAUGCCACCCCAUCUGAGAAACUGAGUGAUUAUAGACUCCUUUUUCAUGGCUCUGUUGCAUUAAGCAGCAGAACUCUUUGCUAAUAGCAUGGGCCAUAUGUUGCCUUUACUAAACAGCACAGUGUGGAGCAGAGGAAUAAGAAUACAAGUGAGAUGAAGACAGAGUACGAACAGCAAGUCAAAAAAGAGGACAGACCAACUUCCUUAACAAGACGAACAACAGAAACUUCACUGGACAAUGGUGAAUGAGCCAUUUGUUAUGAUAAGUGAAUUCCAAUCAAAUGUUUAAUGAACUUUGGAACAAGGCAUGGAUAAGCAGAAUGAGGCAAGACUGCCAAAUAUGCUUUUAGAGGACUGAAAACAUAAUGGAGUCCAGCCACUUUGCCCAGGCUUCCAGUUUUGAUGUGGAAGUUGCUACAAGUUAAAGAUAAUACUGGGUGUAUUGAAGGACAAAGUGAAACAACAGGAAUGAAGGGCAGGAAGAAAGGUGACAUCAAAAAAAGAUUCACCUGAAGAGAGAAUGGUGAAAGGAAUGGAUCUGCCACAGAUUACAGUCCCAGUGACUGUAGAUGAGAUGCAUAAAUAGGUGGCCAUAGAACAAGGCAGGGAGAGCACGUGUUGCUUAGUCCAAGGCUGAACGCUCUUCUGUUUGUUGCAUUUCAUGUUCUCAAACCAGAAGAGGUGAGGAAUUCUUGCCAAGCUGAAAUGUUUCAUGAUGGAAUGUAUCUUGUCAAAGUAUUUGUAGAUCCUUUCUAUGCUCUUUUUAUCUAUGUCAUAUGGUAUUUUUUUUACUUUUGUUGAAAAUGAGCCUCCUCAUUUUCCAGCAGAGACAGCAUAGAAUUCUAUACUGGGAUGGAAGAGUAACUUCUAGUUUCACAAUAGAGAUAUAGGUUUUUCCUCUUUAGCAAAAAAAUGCGGGAGAAAGCUGGAAGCCCUUCAGAACACAUUUUUUCCUUCUUCAUGAUAUUUCAGUGUAUUCAGCAUCAGGAGGUGUUUAAAGGCACAUUGGAUAGAUGUCAACUAUUUUCCUUGUUGUUAAAGCUGAGAGAGAUUCAAUGUAUGGUGAUUAACUUCCCUAAGAAUAUUCAGAAUUAUAUUCUAAAGGCAACAGAUUCAUUAGGUCACUUAUAAUUUUAGAGUUAUAUAACCUGGGCUUAUAAAACUGACUGAAGGAGAAGAUUGUGGAUUAUCAUAUCUCAUCAAAGACUAAUGUUCACUUGCAACCCAUGUAGGUUUCCUGCUUUGCUGAAAUGGUUGGCAUUUAAGAUACUGUUGGCUGUCUGGUUUAGUUUAAGCAACUCUAUGACAGAGCCUUCAGCUUACUCUGACACCCUCCCUAUAUACAUUCCAAGUGGCCUGACCCUGCUUCCAUCUCCUGUGUAUUUCCUGCUUACACUUUAGUGAUGACAGGAGUUCCUUGUUCAACCAGGCAAGACUCUUGUUUUCUUUGGUUUCUUUGGGGUGCAUCCAUUGCAUUGGGAUGGAUCCACCCAUAGUGGUGCAUCAUUCUUGAGCCUGGAGGAAGUGAACUUUGAAUAUCAACCAGGUCUCUUGGACCCCUCUUCCCACAGGAUCUGUUCCCAUGGGAUUCUUCCAAGAAGAUCCCUAAAGAGGCUGAAGUCAGCUGUCCUGAAAUCCAUGGUUACAAUCUUACUCUCUGCCCUGCUUCUUCCUUGUCCAGUGCUGAACGCCACAAUCUCAUGGUCACUGUGGCCAAGGCAGCCCCCCAGCCUUCACAUCUCUGACAAAGCCUUCCCUGUUUGUCACUCUGAGUUAACCAGAACACCAUUCCUUGUGGGAUCCUCCCCUACCUGUGGCAAGAAGUUGUCAGCAAGGCUUUACAAGAGCUUCCUGGACUCAUUGUUCCUCGUUGUGUUACUUCUCCAGUAGAUAUCAGGGUAGUUACAUUCCCUCACAAGAACCUGUCCCUGUGAUUUUGAGGCUGCUUCAAGCUGCCUUUAGAAUGCUUCAAUUUUUUAACUUGAUGCAACAUCAGUAUCUGUUGCAAUAAUUCUAACUGGAAAUCAGCUAGGACAAUGAGUCAUUUAAUGCAAUUACUAUUUUACAAAGUUACUUGCUAAACUUAUUUUUACCUUUUUUUAUAGGAAACCAUUAGUUUACUAUUAGCUGUUUCGGAGAAGAUUUUUGGCAUUUAACUUUUGUCUUUAUUUUCUAAAGCUUACUUUAGUAAGUAGCUAACUUUUCAAAAUUAAAAUAGUUGAGUCUUUUGAUGAUUCUCCAUUGAGAUCAUCCUUCAUCCUUGAAACUUGUUUACUGAACUAUGUGAAAUGUUUAUAAUACUAAAUAGUAGUAAUAAAACAUAAUGCAAGUGUGAGAAUAAGUUUGUUACUCUAAUCUCUCUGUCUUCACAACUUAAAUUGGUUUGCUUCCAUUUAAAUCAAAGAUUUAGACUCAUUUACACCAGCAAAAGUUUUUUGCUUUCUCUUGUAUCACAUAAUUUUGACCCUCAGAAUGUCUUGCAGUGAACUAUCAAAGACAUCCAUUCCUUUCUGCAGAAGCAAAUGCCACACAUUCCCUUUGUAGCUGUUUCCAAGAGAGGGAGUAGUUUGAAAUUUUUUGGCCAAGUUACAAUGAAGUGCCAUAAGAGUGUUGACAGAUGCAGCUUCAUGUGCCAGCAUCUGGCUCUGACUCACAGUGGGAUGAUAUAAACUGGGAAUAAUGGAUAGCUGUUUUGCCUCUGUGGGAUGGUGUCAGGAUUGUAUGCUAACAUCCCCAUUGAGAGAUAAAUGUCAUUUCAGAGUUUGACAAAAUAAACAGGUUGUGGAAUGGGGGAAGGGUGGUCAUAGAAAAGAAUCUUGUUAAAAUGCGGUCAGUGGAUAUCCUCUCAUAGUUUCUCAUAGCUGAAUAGAAAUGUAAAGAAGCAAUAUUUUACUCCAAAUGACACAUCAUGUUUAUUGUAAGAAUUGAACAUUAAUAAAUGAGUUAGAAAAUUUUUUAAUAACUCAAACUCAAUUUUCAGUUUCACACACAUGUAUUUAAAAUUGCUGUUCAUUAAUUCUUUCCUUUCAGACUCUUUGAAAAGUAUUCAAAACUCUCCCAGGAUAUUACUAAAGAAGUAAAUACUUCCAUCAUUUGAUCAUCUGUAUUUCUGUCAUCCACAGAAAAAAAUGGAUUGGCACAGGUUUCAUCAUGUGAACAGAUUUUUCACGAACUGAUGGACAAUUAACUGUCAUCUCUGAAGAAGAAUCCAGAUGAGUAUUUUCAAAUUUUGGGGUACAAUAUUUCCCUCAGCAGGCAGUAAAAAAGUAAGAAGUUUAAAAAUUAAAAUUGGAAAAGUCUCACUGCCUCCUAUAUUUUCUUUAGUAUUUCACUUAAACAAAUAUCUGGUUUGCCUGUUUUCUACCACUGGGGACAGGGCUAUUGAGUAGUCUGCACCAGAAAGCAUCUCUCCAUAGGAAAAAAAUAAUAUUCUUUAGCAUUUACUCUCAAAUGUGAAAGCCCACAACUCAGUAGAAAGUUUUUCAUGCUGAAUUUCUCCAAACAGCAAGCUAAUAAUAUGCUACUUUCCUAUUUAUUAUGACUGAUUUUUAUUUCUUUUUAUAAUUGCACUUCAUUAAAUGUAUCCCCAGAGAAACUAUAUCAAAGUUGUCUCCAUGUAAAUGUAAUUAAUGUAACAGGUUGAAAUGUUACUCCCUGUCAUUGAGAUAUCCACAACACAUCCUAGUCUAAUCAAAUAGGAGUGACACUUAAAAAUAGUUCAAGAGCCUAAAGCGUUUUGCUAUCUGAACAGCGGAGGGCAAGUAUUUAGUUCCAGUGCUACAGCCCACCCACUGCAAGCACAGACAUUUUUACUUUCAAAAUUAGUCUUUAUUGUUCUAUGGGGUUUUUGGUUUGUUUCUUUUUUGCAGUAAUAUAGUCCAUGAUCUUUCAAUAUUGAGGUACCUUCAUACCAGUCUCUCCAUAUUUUUUGAUAUUAAAUGGCAAGGAUCAUACUGACAGUCUUGAAAUUCUCUGGCCAUAUUGGGUAAUAACAGUAGGCCCUUUCUCUUUUGCAGAAUAUUCCUUGACAAUGGAGAAGAGGUAAACCUUGGAAGAAAAUUGUAGAUAUGAAGGAUUUUCAGUCUACACUUUCCAGGACCAAGCAGUCUGUAAGAUUCUCCAUGGGUACUCAUCACAAUUUGCCUUAAUUUCUUGACUCUUUAUGUUUGUCAGGGAGGUGGAGGGAUUUCAUGAGCAUAUGUGCAAAAGGUGAGGCUUCAAUGAUUUUCUUAAUGAAAGGGAUGGCUGUCGUACCCUAUAGGAUACUCUCUUGCAAGGUAGACAUGGCAGAAAUCCUGGUUUAUUUCUCCAAGUCAUAUAUUUUUUUCAACAAUAUAAGAUAAGUAAAAUUGUCUACAUCACAUUGGCUUUCGAACUGGCUUUAGGACUGGCUUUGAGACCCGGGCAUGGAAACACACAAUGAACAUAUAAGGGUACAUUGAUGAAAGGAACCCAUGUUCCUUUGCAGUCUAGCUGUUAUUGGAAACAGCUAUGUAAUGGUUCAAACUCCACGGAGCAACCGUGUGCUUCACUGCUAAGGUUUUAGACAGUCUAAAUUGUGAAUAAUACCACAUCUGUGCUCCCCUGUAUUUGUUGUCAAUUAGGCAACUGUAAAGAUUAUCCACUAGUGAGUCAGGUGUACUAUGAAAUACAAGUGGUUUAACCAAAACCAGAACAGAGUAAAACUAUGCAUGCAAAUAAACUUCUAAGUGAUUAAAAAGAAAACAAAAUCACAUCACGAGUAGACAAUAUGCCUGUGAGAAAAAAAAAGUGCAUUUUAUGACUAAAUACCCAAGGCAUGCUUAUCACUCUUAAUUCAGCAUGCACAACACCAUGCUGAGGUGCCAUGCAGAAGGACAGACAUGCAAGAAUCCAAUUUCAUUAGUUGCAAACCAAGAAAGGCAUUUAAUCAGAACAGCUCCUUAAUCUGCCAGAGUCGUGGCUGGUAAGCAUUGCAAGGAAGGCCAGGGAAGAGUGGGAAAACAGGUGUAUGUCACAGAGGGAAUAAAAUAGAGUAGAUCCUGUUAACUUAGAGAAAUAUGUGCUCCAUGCUGAAAGAGUGACCAAUUAGUGCCCCUGAAAUCCUUCCACAUGGGUGAGGAUUUCAAACUCUCUAACAUCAAAAUAAUAGUUAUGAAAACAAGUUUUAAAAUUUCUACUAAAAUAGAUCCCUUUCUCCUACCAAUAAAAAAUAAACUAUGAAUUAGAAUAUUAGAAAUACUACUGAGAAUAAAAUACAGGAAUAUCAAGCAAAUUAUCAAUUACAAAGAAUAGACUAUAUCCAUGAAACUAUGUAAGUGACCUUCUGCAUCAUAAAUGCUAUUGGACUUAGGAAAUGUCUGUAGAAAAAUAAAAGUACAAGUCAGACCUAAUGUUCCUAAUAAACAAGCUUUCCACCUAAGGUUUUAAUCUUUAUAAGGAAAACUUGGAAAAUUAGUCCUGAAAGAAAUGCAUAUUAAUUCUUCCUUGACAGGCAGACAAAAGGAGUACAAAGAAGUUUGGGCAGAGCACUUUGUUAAUGCUGAGACAGUACUGCCUCGGCUGAGCAACUGUAGUCCAGGGACAAAUGAGACCAGAAAAUCUAUGAAAGAAUGUUCAGCAGUUCCUCUGAGAAACUGUCACUUAUCACAAGCAUGUUAGACAGAAGGUAAAAAAUAUUUUUGAGGCCCAUUUCUCAAGAGAUAAAAUCAGAAAGCAGUUUUUUAUAUUGUGCUCAGUUGGCCUCUUGUGGUCUAUGUUUAAAUAUAUCAGUAGAACCCAACUGUCACUGUUGCAGUUGUGAUAUUAAUGGGAAAGACUUGUGGAUUAGAAAAAAAUGCGUUUAUGGCUAAAGCUCCCUAUUAUCUAUUGUAAAGGUCUGAGAACCUCUAAAUACUUCUCUUUCAUAAGAAUUAAAAUAUAAGUCUUAGAAGUUAUUUGAUAUUGAUACAAUUAUUGUGGCUUAAAGGAGGACAUCCAUGAAAUUUGUCAGUAUCAAGGAUGAAUACUAACCAGCAAAACUAGAAAAUCAGCUGCAUGAAGCAUCUUAGCAAAAAUUCAUCCUUACAUGGCUUCCUUGAAUCCCCUGUGUAUAUUUCAUUCAUUUCUAAUAGUUAAGACUGCCCUGUCAUGGUGAAACUUUGAGUAGGUGAAGAACAUUUCAGCUUAUUUUGUUAAAGUCAUCACAAGACAUUAACUGACCUCCAGUAGAUUGAUGUGACUGAAAAAAUGCAUUAAUUGAUAUAUUUAAAAAGCUGUAUUUAUUAAUGAAACCUAAGGAACUGAGCUUUACUUUUAAUGUUAAUUGUUUGAGCACUAUCAUAUGUUAUAUUAAGUGAACUACUUUUCUAUAAAUUCUUGCUUAAAAUUUGUAUAAAAAUAAAAAACCCCAUAAUCUUAGAAUUAAUGUAUGUUAACUUUUUGUAACAGAAACAUUGUAAAAAUAUUUUCAAAGAAAAAAUUCUAAAUUAUAUUACUAUUAAUGACGUUAUAAAUCCAUAUGUUUUGCCUAAGGAAUCAGAAAAUGAUGUUUGAUGUAAUUAAUCACAGAAAACCCUAAUAUGUCUAGGCAAAGAAAUUUUCUAUACAAGAAUUUUUUUUUUCUUGACAAAUGUUAAUAUUGAGAUUGAUAAAAAUUAUUCCUUGUUUGAAAGAAUUGCAGUGUCAAGGUGAUUGUAAUUUAAUUCCUCAGUUGAUUUGCACUCAGAAUUCUGUUUGGACAAAGUUCUUUAUCAUAAAAUAUAUAGACAGAUAAAAGGAUAAAAAAAUACCAGAUUGUAAAGCUAAUUGGAUAUUAGAGUUAUUAAAGCGUGUUUUCCGCACAUUAAUCUAUUCAGUAAAAUGAAUUACAGUAAUACUUCUGUUCACAAAAGUACAGUGUAAAAUGAGUACUUUGCCUGAGAAAGACAAACUAACCAGGUACUGUUUGGUGGCACUCCUCUCAAUGAUAUCCAUAAAUCAAGGCUGAUCACACCUGACCUCUACUUUGCUUCUCAGAAACAGUGAAUAGUUUUUCUGGAGUCUGGAUGUUUCAGCAUUGCCUUUCACAGCCAGUGGCUUGACCAAAGCUUGUUUUGAAGGCAAUGUGGGUUUUUUUUCCCUCCCACAAAAAUAUAUCUAGCCUCAGCACAACAACCAUCUGUUAACUUCAGGGGCCAACAAGUGACUUGAGAGCAGUUGCUGUACAGAUGGAGCCCAGGUGGACUUUGGGAGAUGGUAAGGGGCAGGCCUUUUCCAUUUCACCUAAAAAUUAGAUUAUUAAAGUAUUUUAUGAACUAUUUCCACUUUUUCAGAGCCUAAACCUGUCACCUGAGGUUUUCAUCCACCUGUAAGCCAUCUGAUCACCCCAUGUCUUUCAGCUCUAACCUGUGGCUUCUUACCACAAGUCUGUCAUACCACACUGGUAUGGUGCAAGACAAACACUAGAAGGGAAGGGUCAUGUCUUUUAUCUUCUGAAAUUCAAGUUGCUACAGACUUCCCUCUCUAUCUCACUGCUGCCCUUCAUGGUUUUCCCAGUUUCCUUGUAGCUGGAAAGGUCAAAACUUAAAAAAACUAAACCCUCCCUUCCUACAGCUUGUCUGCUCUUCCUCAGGAGAGUGUAAAAUAGGCCAGGGAGCCUUAUGGGAAAAAAAGGUUUCUUUCACUGCUGCUUUUAAAUGUCAGAAGAACUGUAAAAAAGAUCUUGAAGAUCUCCAUGAAAGUAUUUCUCAUGUGAAUUCUUGAUGGUACAGCUGUCUAAAUCCAAAAACUAGGUCAUUUACAUUACUACAGGUUGUUAUUUUCUAAAUCAAAGCAUGGCUUGCAGUCUCUGGAAAGUUUGGCUAAUCAUUCUCACCCUCUGAGCCUAAAGCCAUCCCUCUGUUUAUAACUGGCUGUCUUUAGAAGUCCUAGAGGCGGUGCACUAUUUUGCUAUCUUUUAAUGGAACCCGCUACCUCUCCAUGGCACUCUUUGAGAACAGGAGACACAAACCCCCUCCUAACAGAAACCCAAGAUUGUUCAUUUUCUUUCCACAAAAAUGUCUGUCCUCCUCUCCCCUUUGUGAGAGUCUUUCUUUCUCAGCCACGUCCUUCCCAGCUCUGUCUGAACCUGCGCGUGUCAAGAGGGGAUGCAAGCCACAAGGCAGAGAUAAGAAAAAAACCAACCAAUUCACAGGUGUACCAGUGGAGAGCUUGUUGAGCAAAUAACUGAAUAAACAAACUUGUAGGGCUUAGUGUGUCCUUAAAUAUUCUCUCCUUGACUCUUUUCAUGACUAUUAUUGUUUUUCAUUCCCUGGGUUAUGUCCUCUCUACAUUAUGUCUAGACUUCAGCAAGAAGAAUGUUUAUUAAAUAAGGUCAGGGUAGACUUAGUACCAUGAGUUGAUGUUCAGUCAUCAUCCAUAGCUCUGUCUUCUUUUUUUGGUGAGGAAUUACAUGUCUGUGUUAUAAUAGAUUAGCAUGGAGGUGUGGGAAGAGAGAAGAUAAAGCACAGAAGUGAUAGAUCAACACUAUUUUAUAUAUCAACAGCAAUGGAAGUUCUAUUUUUGAAGCAUUUUGGAGUUAAGCCUUGCUAUUUCUGGAGAAAAAACCCCAAUAAAACAAAUAAUGAGCUAUUAACAAUAAGCUCCUUUCUCUUGUAUCUUAGCCAAAAGAAGCAUGGAAAAUUUUAGCAAUUUCCACAGCCUUCCACUGACUCUGCUUUUAACAUAACCUCGAUUUUAAUUCAUGCACUGUAGACAGAAAAUUAGAAGCUUUAAUAAAACAGCCAUUAGCUCUUAUGCUUUAUUAAAACUAUUUGCACACUCUUUGUUGCUCUUGUGAGACCUUUCAAUAAUAAAAACCACACUUUUAAUACAUAAAAGAGCAAAAACUCUCAGGGAAACAGAAGACUAUUA